AAAGUUUUAGUAUAAUUUAGUAUGUUUCAUUGUCAAUGAAUUGGUAAAAAACUUUU
rnacentral:tRNA from 1 species